UCUUUUUUUUAAAUUUAAUCACUUUUAUUAAUAAAAUUAAAAUACAAUACAACGUUAAAUCACUUAGUUUUUACAUACAAAGAAAAUUACUAAAUAUAGUUGUACAUACAUUAUAGUCAAACGGCAUAUUACUUAAGGUCACUAAAUUAAAUCUCCCACUGGGGGGUAUAUAUUUUGCCGUUUGGUUAGUAAACUUCUCUUCCUUACUAUCGUAUUUUCUACCAAAGAUGUUUACGGAAAGUGUAUCCAUGAAAGUUUCACACAUAUAUAACAGUUCAUACUUAAUAUUGUGACAUUAAGUGUCAAGUUCGUCCGAUUUGGUUCUGUCUUUUUUGUAAAAAGAAUUGUUUUAGGGGUGUCCAUAUCUUUUCUCUCUUCUUUGUGUCUUCUUCCUGUAAAGAUAGUGCAAUACAGUCCAUAUCCAUAAAAAUAUAAAUUUUUUCUAGCCAUUCUUCUAGGGUUGGAAUCUUUUUUGAUUUCCAAUUGGCCGCAAUUAAUAACCUUGCUGCCGCUGUCAGGUAGGUAAUAAGUUUGGAGUGUGGUUGGAGUUCUUUUAUAUUGUAUAAUCCCAACAGAUAUAACCCUGGUUCCAUAUUGUAUUGAAUGUUUAGAAUUUUUUGCAUUUGAGUAUGUAUUUUACACCAAAAUCUCUUUAUCUUUUUACAGUACCACCAGGAAUGAAUGAAGGUACCUAUAUCUCUUUCACACUUCCAGCAGCAUACUGGGUUUCUGGUAUAUCUCUAGAUGGGAUUAUAUUAUUGAAUAAUUCACGGGACGCGAAGUCGGACCUUACCCUCGGCGGUCCCUUUCCUUCGUCUCUUGUUCUCUCCGCCCCGCCCUCGGAUCGUCCUGUGAAGCCUCUUUUCGGUAGGUUUUCAAAGUUAUAAAGUUUCUUUCCGUUUGUUUGGAAGAUGCCUUGCGUCUCUGACCUCGUUGCCUCUCUUGCAAAUGUUGAAUUUGAAUCAAGUAGAGUCUAACGUGUUUCUUCUGAAGGUCAGUAAGACGAAAGGUACAGUGGAGGGAUGGGUUUCUUCUUCUCCCUUGCUAUCUCCCAAUGAUGGCCGCGAUAGAAGCCGGUUCUUUCCCCCCUCACAGUUCGUUCAGGAGGUCUGUCGCAGCUCCCAUUCUACGGUCUUUUAUCACUGUUAAAGCCCCCCUUCAGAGGAAGGUAUAUUUCGUGGGCUAUUAACAGUAAAAGAAGAGAAUAGCAAGGAUUUACCGCGCCUGAGGCAAACGCGUGUUGUCCCGUUCGC